CCUACGGGCGGCAGCAGUGGGGAAUAUUGCGCAAUGGGCGAAAGCCUGACGCAGCGACGCCGCGUGAGGGAUGAAGGUCUUCGGAUCGUAAACCUCUGUCAGCAGGGAAGAACGGUCACUGUGCUAAUCAGCAGUGAAUUGACGGUACCUGCAAAGGAAGCACCGGCUAACUCCGUGCCAGCAGCCGCGGCAAUACGGAGGGUGCGAGCGUGAAGCGGAAUUACUGGGCGGAAAGCGCUCGUAGGCGGUAUGUCAAGUCAAGGGUGAAAUCCCCGCGCUCAACGUGGGAACUGCCUUUGAAACUGGCAAGCUGGAGUGUGUGAGAGGAUAGUGGAAUUCCAGGGGUAGGGGUGAAAUCCGUAGAUAUCUGGAGGAACAUCAGUGGCGAAGGCGACUAUCUGGCACAUAACUGACGCUGAGGAGCGAAAGCGUGGGUAGCAAACAGGAUUAGAUACCCGAGUAGUC
rnacentral:rRNA from 1 species